GAUAAACGCUGGCGGCGUGCCUAACACAUGCAAGUCGAACGUCCUCUCUCGCAAGAGAGAGGGAGUGGCGGACGGGUGAGUAACACAUGGGUCACCUACCCUUAAGUGAGGAAUACCGGCGAGAAAUCGCCGACAAGACCGCAUAGGCUCUCUCUUUUGCAAGAGAGAGCAAAAGCUUCGCAAGAGGCGCUUGAGGAUGGGCCUGUGGCCGAUUAGCUGGUUGGAGGGUAAUGGCUUACCAAGGCGACGAUCGGUAGCUGGUCUGAGAGGACGAUCAGCCACACUGGGAUUGAGAAC
rnacentral:rRNA from 1 species